AUACGGAGGGUGCAAGCGUUAUUCGGAAUCACUGGGCGUAAAGGACGCGUAGGCGGGUUGGCAAGUCAGAUGUGAAAUCCUACAGCUUAACUGUAGAACUGCAUUUGAAACUGCUAACCUAGAGUAUGGGAGGGGGAGAUGGAAUUAGAGGUGUAGGGGUAAAAUCCGUAGAUAUCACUAGGAAUACCGAAAGCGAAGGCGAUCUCCUGGAACAUAACUGACGCUCAGGCGUGAAAGCGUGGGGAGCAAACAGGAUUAGAUACCCUAGUAGUCC
rnacentral:rRNA from 1 species